GCACAGUGUUCUUUUUCUGUUAACAGCAGGUAUCAUUUUUGUCCUGACAAGAGGAGGCUCCACCUGCCGACUGCCCACCAACGCAUCCAGCUGUCUGCUUUGCAGAACGGGCAAGCUUGUUUUCAGAAUUUGAAAAACGGAGAUACAAAGGGAGCUGUGGCAGCUGAAUUCUCUUUCAUGUGUGUCCAGUCCAGGUGAAGCCCAGCAUAAUGUACUGUAAUAUGUCUCUUCAAUUCUCUGAUACAAUGACCUGUGCAUCCUCUAAAUCCCCCACAGAAUGCGCAGACACAGACUGAUUGAGACAGAAGCUGAUGGAAGUAUCCUGGGUGAUUGCUGAGUUUAAGCCCACAGGAGCAGAAGAAGUCCCAGGGAGUCCUGGGCAGUUUUUUGCCAUCUUUGUCCUUGUGGAGAAUCACAGCGCACGUGCAAAGAUGAUGUGCGAAUUCAUGAGGGACUCCAUGGCAUCUGUGAACAUGUGUGUCAAGGUUUUGCUUUUCCAUGUAACCCUAAAGAGUGGACACAAAAGACAUGUAUUUGCUUGAAAGGUUUUAGCAGGUUUCUUUUUGUUUUUCCUUCAAAAGUUGGUGGAUAGAUUUGCCAUGAGAUGAUUCCUAGAGAAUAUGUGAGAGCAUGCUAACAUCAUCUGACACCUGUCAAACCAGCCAUCUUCCCCCAUGUCUCAUGCUAGAAAUUGAAGCCCAAAGGCCAGCUAUUGCAGCAGUUGCGUGUUGUGAGAUACAGAUAGAAUGCAUUCCCUCGAGGGACAGAGUACAAAACUGAUGGGUUUGCUCUGAAUGCAUGAGUCCAGAGAGAUCUGCCGAGGAGAAUGAAGGCAGGGACUUGUGCACGUCUGAAGCUGCUGUCUCCGAGUGGCCUUUGGGUCCACAGAGCCAGAACAGCACAUUCAUGCCUGCAGAGGUGCUCUGUGAGAGGUGCAGCCAGGCUUUAACAACACCCUCAGGCUCGUGGUGGGAUUGCUAGAGCUGCCCUGGGCAGGACCAUGAGCAGGACUUUGACGAUCCUUGUUGGGUCUCUUCCAGCUCAUGGUAGGACUCUUCUUAAGAACCUUCUCUUCUUAAGAAGACAGAAUGCCAUGUUGUCUGAAGCUUUGACUGCACCACAGGCACUCUGCAAAAAUAUCUUCUUACAGCUACAAGGGCUUCACCCCCAC